AUCAUGCAAAGGGUCAGCUAAGUGCUAUGUUACAUCUUGUGGUUUGGUUUGUUUACUGGCCAAGGUCUGGCAGUAUUUUGAGGAGGUAGCAGUUACCGCUUUGCUUCCAGGGGCAGCAACUGUUCGUGCUAUUGUUCAUCUGCAACCCUGUUACCACUUCAGAGGUGAAAGCUGUUACCUUUGCACUUGUUUUCUUUUUACUUGGUCCAUCUUGUUAAAUGGAAGAGCAGAGGUAGAGUCAACAAGCUAAACUAGAACAAGGUUGCAAGAAGGUCAUGAUUAUAUCAAUAAUAGCUGAUGUAUGGAUAAGGAUAAAAUUAGGAGGCAUCAUUCCAUAUUUCCGUCCUGUGUUUAGUUCUUUACAGUUAGUUUUCCUUGAAGUCGUAGUAACAACUUUGCUACAGUUCAGCCAAGUAAGAAUAUAAAUCUUAAGUCUAAUCCAUGUUCUCCAUGUGACAGGAUAAAUUGCAAUGUUCUUAGUAACAUCGCUAGCAGAUACAGCCUCUGACCUGAGAUCAUCAUCAUCAUAAAAGCAAGCAUCUCAGUCCAGAAGUUUGCUAUGGAAUUACUGCUCCUCAUUUUUAAUGGCAAACAACAGAUUUGUGAUUGUGUGUUGCUACAAGAGGUUAAACAGAAGAAUAGAUGGAUGAAGCCACCUAGGCAAUGCUGAGAGUCAAAGGCAGAUUGCAAACCCUGUCUUUUUCUUUGCUAAUGAAUACCUUAUUUUUUAAACCCCCAAAAUAUU